AGUGGGAUAGCUGGGUCAGAUGCUGGUUGUAUUCUAGGUUUUCUGAGGAAUCUCCAGACUACUUUCCAGAGUGGUUGCACCAAUUUUCAGUCCCACCAGCAGU
rnacentral:pre_miRNA from 1 species